AGUGAACGCUGGCGGUAUGCCUAACACAUGCAAGUCGAACGGCCGCACAGUAAGAGCUUGCUCUUACGGGUGGCGAGUGGCGGACGGGUGAGGAAUACAUCGGCAUCUACUUUUUCUUGGGGGAUAACGUAGGGACACUUACGCUAAUACCUCAUACUUCCUACCGCUGAAAGCAGGAGUUCUUCGGACCUUUCGCGUUUGAUUUAGCUGAUGUCGGAUUAGCUAGUUGGCGGGGUAAAGGCCCACCAAGGCGACGAUCCGUAGCUGGUCUGAGAGGAUGAUCAGCCACACUGGAACUGAGACACGGUCCAGACUCCUACGGGAGGCAGCAGUGGGGAAUAUUCGACAAUGGGCGCAAGCCUGAUCCAGCCAUACCGCGUGAGUGAAGAAGGCCUUCGGGUUGUAAAGCCCUGUUAUUGGGAAAGAAAAGCAGCAGGUGAAUCCCCCGCUGUUCUGACGGUACCCAAAGAAUAAGCACCGGCUAACUUCGUG
rnacentral:rRNA from 1 species